CCUACGCCCAACGGGUGCCCGAAAGGGCUGAGAUCAUACCGUUAUUACCGGAUCAGGAUAAUUCCUGCGUCGGGAAGGGCCUCCCUCUUUUU
rnacentral:ncRNA from 1 species